GGGUUGGUGGCUCAGUGGUUAGAGCUUAGGUCUUGGGAGCGAAAGGUCCCGGGAUCGAAUCUCACAAGAAAUUUA
rnacentral:tRNA from 1 species